rnacentral:snoRNA from 1 species
CCACAAUGCUGGCAAUGUUUUUUACCAAUAGCAGUUCACCUAAUAAUUAUUGAUACUGUGGGGCUGAGUGA